rnacentral:lncRNA from 1 species
GAUUCGUGCGGAAUGACGUGCAUGCACUGCCAUAGGCAACGGCGUUGCUUCAAGUUGUUAGCUAGUUAGCUAUAAACUUUUCAGUCCAGAAGACAAGGUUCGGGAAGAAAUGUGUUAUUUAUGUAUGAAAAUAUGGAUGUGAGACAGAGAAAAGUGUUCAAACUGCCGACCAACACAGAGAAGUAUCGUGAAGCACAUCCCAACGACGGUUACAUCGGCGAGGAUCACGACGAAACGGACGAGUUUAGGAAGAUGGUGGACAGUUACAGCGAAACUGGGAGAGAGAAGCAUGUGGUGAAUGAGGAGAGGUCCCCUCUAGGUCCCUGGCUCCUAGCUCUCUUUCUCUUUGUGAUGUGUGGAUCAGAAAGGAUCUCUGCUCUAACGUGACACUUCCUACGUCGUCCAUAGGCUCUCAGAGCCCGGGAAAAACCUGAAUGUCGUCAUCCCAGCCCCAGGCUGAAACACAUUAUCGCCUUUCUCAAGUGGCCGAUCAAGGGACUCUGGGCUUAGGCGCGUGACCCC